rnacentral:rRNA from 1 species
GAUGAACGCUGGCGGCGUGCCUAAUACAUGCAAGUCGAGCGAACAGACGAGGAGCUUGCUCCUCUGACGUUAGCGGCGGACGGGUGAGUAACACGUGGAUAACCUACCUAUAAGACUGGGAUAACUUCGGGAAACCGGAGCUAAUACCGGAUAAUAUAUUGAACCGCAUGGUUCAAUAGUGAAAGACGGUUUUGCUGUCACUUAUAGAUGGAUCCGCGCCGCAUUAGCUAGUUGGUAAGGUAACGGCUUACCAAGGCGACGAUGCGUAGCCGACCUGAGAGGGUGAUAGGCCACACUGGAACUGAGACACGGUCCAGACGCCUACGGGAGGCAGCAGUAGGGAAUCUGCCGCAAUGGGCGAAAGCCUGACGGAGCAACGCCGCGUGAGUGAUGAAGGUCUUCGGAUCGUAAAACUCUGUUAUUAGGGAAGAACAAAUGUGUAAGUAACUAUGCACGUCUUGACGGUACCUAAUCAGAAAGCCACGGCUAACUACGUG